CUCAGUGGACUGGGCCCUUUCAGAGGGAACUGGUCCAGCCCUGUGCCUCAUUAACAAUGGGGCCUGAUGGAGAGCAGCUGGUCUCUCUAACAAGCCACAGUGGAGCAGGGAGAGGAAGCUGUGGCAGAGGCUGCAGAAAGCAGGAGGUCUGUGAUUGGGGCCAAACCCCAGAGCCAGAGAUCUGAAGAAGGCUGAGGGUGAAGGCAACAGCAGAGUGAAGAGAAUAGGCAGCAUCGAGUGAGUGUUGGACCUUCUCCUGGGGAAGAAAGGACACAAGUGAGAUGGAGGCAGGAUAAAACCUCAGCUUUCCCAACACCCAGUCCUGUGAUCUAACGAUUGUACUUCCUCACUUCUAAAUUGGGAGCCUAUUCUGAAGGAUCUGAUCUUAGCAUGAAAUCUGUCAGAUUGUCCUAGGGUUUGCGGCUCUAAAGUGAAACUGGAAUGACCUGUCCCCCGAAGGCAGAAGCAAAAAAAGAGUGAAGGCAACACACAUAACACUGCAGAUGUGCUCAAAGCUUCCUGACGUUUGAGAGUCCGUGAAAUACAGGUGCUCUUAGGAUCAAGUUCCUGGCAGAGUGAAUUGUUCCCUGACAUCUGCAAGAACCUGCACAGUGAUCUGCUCUUCAAUAUCUGUUUCAAAUUCAAUAAACUUU